rnacentral:lncRNA from 1 species
GCUGGAAGUGUCAACAGAUUAAACCUCACCAAUUCUGGUAUACAAGGUACUCUACUUCAAUUUCCAUUCAUGUCUUUGCCUAAUCUUGCAUAUGUUGACCUCAGCUUGAAUGAACUUUUUGAUCAAAUCCCACCUGAGAUCAGUUCCCUCACCAAACUCAUCUAUUUCGAUAUAUCCUACAAUCAAAUGUCUGGAAAAAUCCCACCCGAAAUCGGUCUUUUAACAAAUCUUCAGGUUCUUCACCUAAAUGCAAAUAAGUUCAACGGCUCAAUUCCUCAAGAAAUAGGCCAACUUAAAUUCGUCUAUGAGCUAGCUCUAAACUUCAACAAUUUAGAGGGUUCAAUUCCAGCUUCUGUCGGUAAUUUGAGCCAAUUGACUUCUUUGAUUCUCUUCGGAAACCAACUUUCGGGUCCUAUCCCUCCCGAAAUAGGAAACCUUUCGAAGUUGGUUGAACUUUACUUGUUUGACAACUAUUUAUCAGGCCCAAUCCCUCUGAGUUUCGGAAACUUGAAAAAUCUAACCACGAUGAUGUUGUACAACAAUACCCUUUCUGGCUCUAUCCCAACUUCUUUGUGCAAUUUGACAAACCUUGUUUAUCUCUCUCUCUACGAUAAUAAACUUUCCGGCACUAUUCCUCAAGAGAUUGGAAGCUUGAAAUUUCUUGUGUCUCUAGAGCUGACCAACAAUCAGCUCAACGGAACCGUUCCCUCUUCGUUUGGCAACUUGAGCAGCCUAGAAAACCUAUACCUCCGCGGUAACCAAUUAUCUGGAUCAAUCCCCCAAGAGAUGGAGAAUCUAAUCAAGUUGACUAUACUUGACUUGGCUACUAACCGAUUUUCUGGUUAUUUGCCUCGAGAUAUAUGUAGAGGUGGAUUGCUACAAAGGUUUAGUGCAGAAAACAACGAAUUUUCAGGUCCAAUCCCGAAAAGCUUGAAAGGUUGCAAGAGCUUAGUCAGAGUCCGUCUUGAAGGGAACCAGUUUACAAGCAAUAUAUCUGAAGACUUUGGUGUCUAUCCGAAUCUUCAGUUUGUAGACCUAAGCGACAACAACAUGUAUGGUGAAAUCUCAGACAUCUGGGGACAGUGUCCAAACUUAACAACUCUAAUAUUUGCGGGGAACAACCUUACUGGUAGCAUACCAUCUGAGAUUGCCAAUGCAACAAACCUUCAAGAACUCGAUUUUUCUUCGAAUCAUCUGGUUGGGGUGGUUCCCAAGGAUUUGGGGAGAUUGGCUUCGAUGGUGAACCUAAAACUGAAUGGCAAUGAACUUUUGGGUUCUAUACCCUCUGAAUUUGGAGCAUUCACUGAACUCGAAUAUCUUGACGUGUCAACCAACAUGCUGAACGGCUCAAUUCCAAGCACUUUUGGCGAAUUGGUCAGUUUAAACUACUUGAAUUUGAGCAACAACAAUUUCAGUCAAGAAAUUCCAUUUCAGUUGGGGCAGUUAUUUCACCUGUCACAAUUAGAUUUAAGUCAUAACUCACUUGAAGGUAAGAUACCAUCAGAAAUGAGCAAUAUGCAGAGCUUGGAGCGACUGAAUCUUUCCCACAAUAAUCUUUCCGGUCUCAUUCCAGCAACGUUUGAUGGAAUGCGCGGCUUGCUGUACGUGGACGUAUCCUACAAUCACUUGCAGGGUCCCAUCCCCAACAACAAGGCAUUUCAAGAUGCCCACAGCUUUGAAGGGAAUGUAGGUUUGUGUGGAAAUGUUGUAGGACUACAAUCCUGCAAUAAGCACGUCUCAAAAAGAAAAAACAACAGAAAACUCGUGUUUGCAAUUGUUUUCCCUAUCUUGGGAGUAGUUUUACUUGCUUUCCUUGCAAUUGUCUUCAUUAAAACAAGAAGAAAGAAAGAGCCAGAAACAGACAAGAGCGAUAUCCAUGAUGAAGAAGAAGUUUUUUCAAUCUCUCUUUUUGAUGGAAAAAAAUUGUAUUCGGAGAUCAUAAGAGCAACCGAUGGUUUUAACUCCAUAUAUUGUAUUGGGAAGGGAGGAUCUGGAAGUGUCUACAAGGCAAAGCUACCAUCAGGCAGCAUAGUUGCAGUGAAGAAACUCCAUCAAAAACUUGGCAGGGAGGAGACAUCACAGAAGGAGUUCCACAAUGAAAUAAGUGCACUAAUCAAUAUACGACAUCGAAAUAUUGUGAAACUUUGUGGUUUCUGCUCAAAUUCACAGCACUCCUUUCUGGUCUAUGAGUAUCUUGACAAGGGUAGUCUGGCUUCAAUCUUGAGCAAAGAAGACGAAGCAAAAAAAUUGGAUUGGAGUAGAAGGGUGAGAAUUGUAAAAGGCGUAGCUCAUGCACUGUCUUACAUGCAUCAUGAUUGCGUGCCACCAAUUGUACACCGGGACAUAUCAAGCAGCAACAUUUUGCUGGAUUACGACUACGAGCCUUGUGUUUCGGACUUCGGCACUGCUAAGCUUUUGAAUCCAGACUCAUCGAAUUGGAGCUCUCUUGCAGGCACAUACGGAUAUGUAGCACCAGGUAAAGUAAAACAGUUAAAAAAAUAUAAUGUUUUCUAAAUUUGUGAUAUCAAGUUAACAUAUACUAAUGGCUUGCUCUUCCUUAAUUUUAUGCAGAGUUGGCCUACACAAUGAAGGUAACUGAGAAAUGUGACGUUUAUAGCUUCGGAGUGCUGGCACUGGAAGUGAUCAUGGGAAAGCGACUAGGCGAUUUAAUCUCGUCCUUUUCGUCUCCAUCCGCGUGUGAAAACAAAUUGCUGAAGGAUGUAUUGGACCAACGGCUUCCACCUCCUACACCUGAAGUUGAAGAUGAACUGACAACCAUUGCAAGUGUAGCAAUCGCAUGCAGGCAUUCGCAACCGCAAUCUAGGCCAACAAUGCACAUGGUUUCUCAGUUGUUAUCAUUACAAAAUGCAACUUCCACUGGAGGACCAGGCAUCACACUUGAACAACUCAUUAAGAUUUGAAUUGCGUUUGACAUUGUUUGAGUUGGCACGAAAGUCGGAUGGUCUUGUUUAAUUAUAUCAAUACAUCUAUAUUGUUAUUCCUACUUAGUAAAAUAAGGUUUGUUUGUUGUUGUUGUUGCUGUAAUAUAUGUAUGUUGUUCUUCAGACAAGAUUAAGUACAAUCUUCAACUAAUUACAAAUAUUUUUUUAUUGCAGAAUCAACUGGAUUGAGUUGACUAUAAUUUAUUUUUUGUAGUUGAGUUAACUAUUACUUGAUUGAAGCCACAUGGUACUAUGUUAUAAUUGCAGGUAAAUUAACAAGAAGAGGAGUGCUAGUUGGACUCGCUCCUAAAACCUCGUUUGGUAACUUGGAUUGUACUAAUUAUUAAAUUAGUGAGACGUUUGGUGCUUUAUCAGACUAAAAACUGACCAUUUAAUAUUGUGUUUGAUAUAAGAGAUUAUUCGAAUUGUUAUUAUUUUAUGUGAAUGAUUACAAAAAUUGUGGAUGUAGAAUUUGGUAAUUAAAAGUCCUCAUGUCUUAUGGUAAUAUGAUCUUUUGAAUCGUAAAGUGUUGGCUUCAUGCAACGGUCUGUGAGUGGUGACGUGUUCCAAUCAUGCACACUCUUGCCUUAGGGUUGUAUAAGAACCAACUUUCACCAUUUGAGAAAGUAUGAAUGAAAUCAAAAUGUUAUAGCCUUUAUCUUUUCCCUUUUCUCUUUCGAAUUGCUUCUCUACUGUUUGGCACCUAUCAUCUGCUAUCAAGAUCCAGGUGUUGUCUUCCAUGGGCAAGAGCAAAGCUUUUGUCGUUGUUGCCGACGUCACGGAAGCCGAUCUCGAACUGGAGUAUCAGCAACACCAAAUCCUUGAGCAACUCAAUGGGUUUCAUGACUCGAUGUUGAUGUUGGCCACUCGCCAAGAGACCUUCUAGUCUUACUUGAUGAACAUUUCAGCUUGCUUGGCUAAUAUCAGCCUUGUUCAGUCCCAUUUGAUGGAGGAGCUCUGGUCAUCCCACCAACCACCGCCGCCUACCCAGGUCUCCCUGAUCCCAUCGGUUCUCUCCACAUCCUGAUUGGCUCGGCAUCCACCCCACAGCCCCACCCACCCGCUGCUGUCUCUCCACCUACAUGGGGUUCUCAAUACUCCAAAUCCCCCCACAUCCCUUACACCCUGUCACAAGUGAUCGGAUAUCCGUUGGCAUCUCCUUAGUUUUCCACGUCCACUUCCACUCUUCGUCACCCCCCUCCCACACUAUUUCCCACCCACCAACAACACCCCAUCCUGUCUGGCGCCCCGUCCCACUCCACUGGUACCAAAUUCAUGAAAAUCGAGCUUUCCUGGUUCUCCAGCGAUGACCCAUUCAGCUGGUUAGCUUUAGCGGAAGAGUAUUUGGACUACCAUGGUGUCAACACCCCCAACAGGGUCACGGUGGCGGGCCUCCAUUUCACUGGUGAUGUGGCUUUGUGGUUUAAGUGGUACAAAUUGCAUAUUGGAUCCAAUUUAUGGGCCACCUUCACCGAAUGUCUCUUACAACGCUUUGGGCCGGGUGACCAAUUAGACUUCAAUAUGUCCUUCUCUCAUGUAUCCCAAAAAGGACCUCUCGAGGCCUAUGUCAAUGAUUUCAUUCGUUUGUCUUGCCGAGCCCAAGGUUGGACCAAUGCACAACAUUUAGGGGCGUGGGCUUAAGAUGGACCUCCGUAUUAGCUCAAGCACCUCAUUCUUUGGCCCGCGCCAUCAAACUCGCCCGUAUCUAUGACAAUAAGCAACAACGAUGUCAUAGCACCUUCCGCUAAUACUCUCCUUGCCCUUCUCCGACGUCUCUGGUAGUGUCCUCGACGACAUCCGCUCCACCCACCAGACCACUUCCCUCCUCGGCAGCUCGGCCACCGCUGCACCUAUCUCCAACAGUAGUCUGUGAGCGCAGUUCUCGGGGCCAAUGUUUAUAUUGCCCAAAGAAAUACUUUCCUGGCCACAUGAUAAGUCGAUAUUAUACUUUAUAUUUUACCCUUAUCUUAGUCUUAAUUUAUUAGUUAUUUUGGUAGAAUUUUGAUACUUUGUUAUAUUUUCAAUGUAGGACAUUCGACUUCAUCUGGAGAAAAAAGUGAUCAAACGGAUGAAUUUUGGAGUAAUUCUAAUUGGAGGAUGUUCGUGAGUCUUUUAAGAUGAUUGUGUCAAAAUUCCAGAUUUUUCUACCAAGCCGUUUGACUGUGGCGAAGAAAUAAAGGCCCAGGGUGCAGCUUUCCCAUAUUGACAUUUAUGGACGCUUUGGGUAUUUUGAAGGUCAAUAUGGCAUAUUUUGAGGAAGAUUCAUCCUGAAGAUUUGUUAACCACGUCUCAAUCUUUAAAAAGAUACAUUUUGGGACCAAAUCAGAGUUGAUUUGGUCGGUCAAAAGUUUGAUUUUCUGAGAAGUUUGAAUUUCAGUUCAAAUAGGAAACCUUUUAUUUCCGAAUUAUCUUAUUCUAUUAUGUUUCCCAGUUUUUAGAAGACAUUUUCUAGGUAGGAUUUUAUUUUGUGGUCGUAUAAAUAAGGCUUUUUAGCCAUUAGAAAGAAAAGGAGAGAGUACGAAGGCAUCAAUUUGGAAGAACUUAGUUAGGCUUUGACGUUUUGUAUUUCAAGGUGUUUUCUAUCUUUUUUCCAUUUCAAUAAAAUUCCUUUUGUUUUAUGGUUGUUCGUAACUAAUUUUUGUUUGCUAGGGCGAUGCCUUGAGCCUUAUAAUGAAUAUGUAGUCUUUAUUCAAUUUCUUAUGAUAUUAUGCAUGCAUGCUUUGAAUUAUUAAUCAUUGUGUUUAAACUGUCUCUAUAUCUUAAUGCUUAGCUACUAUUAUGAUGUUUAUAUAAGUAAUCGGAUGCAAUUCGAUCGGAAUACCACCGGCGGAUUGAAUAUUGCUUAUUGUGAUUGGUAGUUGUAAUUUCACCUUGGACGAAUACCACAUCUUAGGGAUUGCAUGGUUUUUCAAAGGGUUUUCACAAAGCGUAAUGAGUCAUGCAUGUUUAUAUUUGAUCUGAAUACUACAGACGGAUUGCAUGUUUGAUAUACGUUCUAGCUUGAAUACCAUGAGUAGAAUAUGCAUUAGGAAAACCUAACCUUCAAAAUUGCAUGUGUAAUUCAUAAGUAAUUGGUAAAUCUACAUAAGAUUGUUAAGGGGACGGCGGAACCCUAGACUUUUAUAAUUUGGUUUUCAAAGCGUUUUCUUUUGUUUUCUUUACUUUGCUAAUUUCUUUAACCUUUUUAGUUAAAUUCGUUUUUAUUAUUUUUAAAUUCAAAAUUAACCUUUUCCAAUCUUUGUUUUCAAGUAAUUAAUUAAGAUUUGGUAUUUACAUAAAUUAUUCAUUCAAUUUCUGCGAAAAACAACCUUGCUUAAGCCGUUUAUAUUAUAACUAUCUUGUUCUCUUGUAAGUAUUUUUAAGUGUUUUUAUCCUUACUUCUAUAGUUGGUAAAAAUCCCUAUCAAGAAAUUGGUGCCGUCACCAGAGAUUGUUAUAAAUAAUUUGGGUUUUUCUUAUUCUUAGUUAAUUAUUAUUGUACAUACAUAUAUUUUUUAUUUAAUUGUUAAUUUUAUAUUUUAGGUUGGUUUGUUGAUUUUUGAGAGCACUAUAAUGAUGGGCUGGGAACUACCACCACCAGAAGGAUCACCUUUAUGGGUUUCUUUCGUAAAACAGAGUUUCUAUGGAUUUAAACCUACAAUUUAUGUCCUUUGUUGUUCAAAUACCCACGGAAUUUUGCUAUGCCCUAAAAGGAAAUAUUUUCUAGACUGUGUGAAGAAGCAUAUUAAUAUGAGAAACGACUCACAAAGGCAUUGGGACGAUCCCACUUUUGAUUACUAUGCUCCAGCUUUGAAUAAGCAUCCUAGUUUUAGAUGGGCAGGUACUUAACAACCUUUUGAGCAGCCUAAUGUGCCACAAAGUUCAAAGGACGGUUCGACUACUAGUACAUUAGAAUGUGUGAAGAGUUAUGAUAAAUGAAAUUGAAGAGCCGCCUGCCGGUAACUCAUGCCAAAAGGAGGAAACAACCCUGAUGACCUUGAAAUUUCUCCAAAAUCCGUUCCUACUCAGGUUCAUACACCACACAUCCCAUAUCAAGAUGCUGCAAAGCAACCUACAAAGCAGCAGGAAUUCAUUGAAACUGACCUAUUGGAUGGGGAUGUACAAACCAAAUCAGACUCUGGGAAAUCAUGUGGCCAGCUAUUGGACACUAUCACUUUGGAUACAGGGCUGGUUACUGAUACAAACAUUUUAGUUGCUGUAUUGGGCAGUACACCAGCUAGGGGUGGGCGCGGUUCGGUUUGGUGCGGUUUUGAGUGAAACCAAAACCAAAACCGCAAGUUUUUGCGGUUUGGUUCGGUGCGGUUUUGAAGCCAAAACCAAAAUGAAACCAAACCGUUUGGUUCGGUUCGAUGCGGUUUCAAACGGUUUCGGUUUGGUUUUUAAGAAAAAAUGUACAAUUUGCAAUUUAACAUAUUAAAAAGCAUUUCCCAAUAGUAAUAGGAAAAUGACAUUUGUUAUGUAAACAAUUAGCAUGUUGCAUGUAGUUGUGAUGUUAAAACAUGUUUGUGCAACAAAAAGGUGUCCCUUACAAUAUUUUUCAUAAAACAAGUUGAAUAAAUUUGAAUUCAUUAAACGUGAGCGAAAUUUUCAUACUAGAAUAUGUGAUAUCAUGCUUCAAAUGAGUGGCUUUUUAGUAGAUCAUUGUUCGACUCUUGAUAACAAGAUUAGUCCACCCUUGUACAUAUAUGUGUGUGUGUGAUGGUAUAAAAUAACAAAGGUCCUUCAAGUUAAUGAACAAAAGAAAGUGAUGAAUGAUGAUAUUCUAGUGUGGUUGAGUCCAUACUAAGUGUAUGAAUUUUAACAAACGACCAAUUAAAACAUGAAAUCUAAUAUGGACAUUUAAUUAAAUGUUUAUUAAUAUUUGCGGUGCGGUUCGGUUUCGGUGCGGUUUUCAAAAGCCAAAACCGAAACCAAACCGUUUUCUAUGUUGCGGUUCGGUUUCAAAACCGAAACCGUUUCAAAACCGCAAAACCAAACCGUUCGGUGCAGUUCGAUUUGGUUCGUGUUUCGGUUUCGGUUUUCGGUUUUAAGUGCCCACCCCUAACACCAGCACAACUAAUUGUAAUUAAAGAAAUUCGGGCCUAAGUCCUACAACGUAGCUAAGACAUACAAGGAAUGGGAGAAAAAGUUUAAUGGCAGCCAGAUUCUUCAUAGAGACAUUCCACCAGUGAAAAAGUUGUGGGUAUUAAAUACAAGAUGGAAGUUAGUUCGAUGGAGACACAAGCCUCGCUGGAAGGGACCUUAUUUGAUUUCAAAGACUCAUUCUCAUAUAAGGGUAUAAAUAAAAGAUUCAGCCACUGAAUUUAAAUGCACAGUUCAUGUCACUCCAUACUUACCAUUGCUCUAUGAUGCUACUAAGGCAUGGUUGACCCUAAAAGAACAAGUGACGUGAUUAUCAACCUCAUUCCCAUUCGUCUAGCUAUAGACGUUAACUAAAACACUAAUUGGAAGACAACCCAUUUUUUCCAGCUCUUUUCUUUGUAUUUUCGUUCAUUUUAUUUCUUGUUUUUAUUCCUUAUCACAAAAAGCCGAAAAACAAAAAAAUCACAUAAAAAAAAUUCAGAAAGUUGAAAAAAAAAUACAAAAACAGCAAUUCGUUUUAGUUGAUCACUUUGUUUGUUUGUUUGUGUAACUUUUUUUUUUUUUUUUUUUUUUUUUUUUUUCCAUUUUGGGUUUUUAUUCUCAUCCGAUUUUUAAUGUGUGUUUUUGGCAGGUUGAAUUCAGAAUCAAUUGGCCCUAAAUAUGCGCUAAGCGCACACAUUCGACUGAAUCAUGCAUUCAGUAGCAUUCAUACACUCAACUCAGUACAUUCAUCAUUCAUCCACAAUAAUCAGAUUCCAAACGAAUGCAGAAAAGAUUGAGGCAGAGUUCAAGAAUGCUUAUUGUGGGAGAGCCCUCUGCAUUGUUUGGAAUCCCCUUUCACUCACUCUCUCUCUCUCAUAUUUUAAUAAAAUAAUUGUUUUACAAUAAGUUUGGGGUGGUCCAGACAGCACAGAGGCGGACAUUCAUCAAGCCAUGUCACAGAUCCAGUAUCAUGCACAGUUUUUGCUCAAUAUUUGUCAUAUGGAGGCAUGCAAGCACACAGAAAUUACAUGAGCAUUGAAGAAAUUUAAGUCUUAGAAUGCAUGACAAAAACAUUUCGGAGAUCCGCAUGAUUUCCAGAGACAUCACACCAUGCUUAAUUUUAACGCAGUACAGGGAUUUGAUUUACUUCCAUUUCGUAGAUCUGAGCAGCCAUCUUUGCUGUGUGUACAGAAGCUCCGUGUGUGCACCUUUGCCCCUCGCAGUCACUAUUCUUUCCUUGGUCUUACUCGGAUCCCGAACUCUACCUACAGAAUACAUACAUGCAUGUGUUAGAAUUUCGUUUUCAUUUGACCUUCGGUCAUGAACUCCAAGGAAAGAAGAUGUGGAUGCAUUUUACCUGAGGAAAGUGGCUCUGUAUUUGCAGCUGUAAACAAGUUGGGGGUGGAACAGAGGAGGUGCAGCUUUGGGGCCUUCGGUUUCCGUUGCAGAAAUGGAGGAGAGAGGAAGAAUCUCGACUUCUUUUUUUCGACUUCUUGAAGAGAGAGAGAAAUGGAUUGCUGGGUUUGGAGGAUGGUACUGGUUGAGCGGCUCUGGACUACGUCGCGAGUUCGACUCCAGGUGACUUUCUUCCUUGUUUUUCCUUUCUUCUUCAUUUUUAUCUUUGUUUGCUGCUCGUUGUUUGCUUAUUUAUUUGCUUUCUGUUUUUAUCUCUUUCUUUUUAUAGUUUUAAUUAGUUGUUUUUAUUUUACUUUUAUUUAUUUUCCAUCCCUUGAGGACAAUGUGUGAUUUUAAAUGUCAAUAUAAGAAUCCUAACUUAUUUGGGAAACUUUAAGGAAUUCUGAAUUCUAAUUCAUUGAUGAUUAUUUUGGUAUUUGAAAAACCAUCUCACUUAAUUCAAUUUAGAUGAUAAUCGUUUUAGAUUGAAUAUUUUGUCAUUAUUUAUACAAAAAGUAGUCACCAUUUAUAGAUUGUGACUAUUUCUAUGAACAGUGUCACUAUUUUUAAAAACAGUUAUCACCAUCUCUAAACAGUGACACGAUUUCCAGAAACAGUGACACUAUUUCUAAAAACGGUGACAUUAUUUUUAAAAACAAUGACACUAUUUCUAAAAAUCGUGUUCACCAUUUUUAGACAAUGACACUAUUUCUAACAAUGGUCACCAUUCCUAGACAAUGCCACUGUUUCUAGACCUAGACUUAAAAUUUAGGACUAACACAAAUUUAAAGACCAAGUAUUACAGACACGUAUCAUGUACAAUCUAGAAAAUUAACCAACUAAAAAAGCUUGCGGUUUUAGCAUAGAAAUAUGAAUUAUAUUAUUUGGAAAAAAAGAACUUGUUGACACAUUUUUUACUGUAAGUGAGCCUCUUUGGCUUAUCCUUUUAUUUGUCCUAAAAAAGAAAGCUAUUGUGAAAAGAAAACAUUUGCAGCAUCAAUGGGUGUGACAAGGACAAGGAAUAACCAUGGUCCAUUGUUUCGAACUAUCUCACACUUAAAAUUAGUAACUGAAUUGUAGAAAGCUACAAGUUGGAACUGCAAGUGUACAACAGUUCCUCAAGAAAAAUUGCUUGUCAAUGAAUUGAUUGCACCAAAUUUUAGAUUCGGUUUGGAUCAGGUUUGAUCGUAGUGGACAUUGCCAUAUCUCAAGAGGCAGCUAUUAGGCUUUGGUCAAUGUAACGCCUUGGAGAGUAUGAGAGAUGGACUAAGAACAUAUGUCGUUAAGGGUGUAUAUGGAGAUGUAUAAUACAUAUAUAUCAUUUUGGUUGAAAAAAUAUAUCUUUAAUGAGAGAGUGUAAGUUACACCCAUUUUAGUUAAAAAAAAUAUAAAUAUUUAUAUAAAUUUACAUCUUUUAUAUCUUCAAAAGAAAAAAAGAAACUAAACUAAAAUAUUACAUUGAACGUUUAAAAAGGUUAAAAAUGUAGCCUUUUAGUAUUAUGGUCUAAUGAUAUUCAUCUUCACUGGUACGUGAGAGGUCUUAGAUUCGAUUCUUGCCAAAAGCGAAUUUGAACUAUGUUAUUAAGCCCAUUGUGAGGCUUAGCCCACUCUCCCACCCCCUAAGUGUAAAUAAUGUUGUUUGUUCAAAAAUAAAACUGUAUGAUUGCAACUUGAGUAGCCUAGAAAACCUAUACCUCCGCGGUAACCAAUUAUCCGGAUCAAUCCCCCAAGAGAUGGAGAAUCUAAUGAAGUUGACAACACUUGACUUGGCUACUAACCGAUUUUCUGGUUAUUUGCCUUGAGAUAUUUGUAGAGGUGGACUGCUACAAAGGUUUAGUGCAGAAAACAACGAAUUUUCAGGUCCAAUCCCAAAAAGCUUGAAAGGUUGCAAGAGCUUGUCAGAGUCCGUCUUGAUGGGAACCAAUUUACAAGAAAUAUAUCUGUAGACGCAAUUUACAAGCAAUAUAUCUGAAGACUUUGGCGUCUAUCCGAAUCUUCACUUUGUAGACCUAAGGCACAACAACUUAUAUGGCAAAAUCUCAGACAUCUGGGGAUAGUGUCCAAACGUAACAGCCCUACGGAUUGCGGGGAACAACCUUACUGGGAGCAUACCAUCUGAGAUUGUCAAUGCAACUAAAAUUCAGGAACUCGAUUUUCCUUCGAAUCAUCUGGUUGGGGUGGUUCCCAAGGAUUUGGGGAGAUUGACUUCUAUGGUGAAUCUAAAGUUGAAUGGGAAUCAACUUUUUGGUUCUAUACCCUCAGAAUUUGGAGCAUUCGCUGAACUCGAACAUCUUGUCGUGUCCACCAAGAAGUUGAAUGGCUCAAUUCCAAGCAUUUUUUGUGACUUGGUCCAUUUAUACCACUUGAAUUUGAGCAACAACAAUUUCAGUCAAGAAAUUCCACUUCAGUUGGGCAAGUUAUUUCACCUGUCACAGUUAGAUUUGAGUCAUAACUCACUUGACGGCAACAUACCAUCAGAAAUUAGCAAAAUGCAGAGAUUGGAGCAGCUGAAUCUUUCCCACAAUAAUCUUUCCGGUCUCAUUCCUACAACGUUUGAUGGAAUGUGCAGCUUGUUGUACAUAGACGUAUCCUACAAUCACUUGCAAGGUCCCAUCCCCAACAACAAAGCAUUUCAAGAUGCUCACAGCUUUGAAGGGAAUGUAGGACUACAAUCCUGCAAUAAGCAUGUCUCAAAAAGAAAAAACAAUAGAAAACUCGUGUUUGCAAUCGUUUUCCCUAUCUUGGGAGCAGUUUUACUUAAUUUCCUUGCAAUUGUCUUCAUCAAAACAGGAGCAGCCUCUCCAUAAAUGGGGGUAAGGCUAGCCGACAUUCACCUCUCCCAGACCCUGCGUAAAGCUGGAGCCUUGUGCACUGGGUACGACCUUUUUUUGUCUUCAUCAAAACAAGAAGAAAGAAAGAGCCGGGAACAUAAAAGAGUGAUAUCCAUUGAUAGGAGCAUAUUUAUCCGACUUUGUUAGCUUGUUUCUUUGCAUUUAGUGAGUUAGUUUUUGUUUAUUAUAGUGAUUUAAGCUAUUUUCGUGUGUUUGUAGGUCCAAAUGGCAAAAGUGGCAACAAAAGGCAAUUUGAAGGAUUUUAAAGCAGUUUUGGAUUUGGAAUAGAUAGCAUGCGUAUGGAGCAUAAUGGAUGGACCUUUUUGAAGUUUAAAGAAGCUAAAAAUGUGCUACAAAUCUGGAAGAAUUAAUUCAAGAUUUGGAAGAUAAGGAAUCAGCUAAAAGGAAGGAACAUUAUCCAACCUUAUCCUAUCCAAACUAACCUUAUUUAUCCUACCUUAAUUCCAGCUGCAAGGGGGGAAUCAAUUUUACAUUAAAUCACCUAAAUAUUUGGUUCUAGAAGCCCUAUCCUCUGCCUAAAUUGGUGCCGCACCACCCUUUCUAGAAGCCUAGAAACCUACUGUGUAUCCUAUUCCCUUUCCUCCAAGGAUUGUGUUAUCCUUUUCCUCUACAAAUUAUUGCUGUGCAAUCCUUUUCCCUUCAGAAAUUGUGCCGAACCCUAGCCCUAUAAAUACACAUCUUUGCCGCACCAUUCAAAACACCACACACGAGAGAAAUUCAGAGAGAAAAAUAAAAAGAGUGCCGCAGGUUUUUGAGAGUUUUUAGAGAUUUGUGCCGUGCUUGCAAGGAGAAGAAGGACUUGUGUCGUGACCCUGCAGCCAAUGAUUGUGCCAAAUCUGCCAUUGGAGUGCUGGAGCGUUUAUGGGUUCUUUCUAUCCUUAGUUUUAGUCUAAUGUUUAUUUUAAUUUGGUCUUCAAUUAUGAUGAACAUGUGGAACUAAUUUCGUUUUAGUUAGAGGUGAAUUCAAAGCUAUGAACAUAAAUGUGAUACGAAUUGAUUACAUCCAUUUAUUGUUUCAUAAAUCGUGAAUACAAUUUAUUUAUCUGUUUUAUGGAGAACUUGUUCUUGUGUGUUGAUUAAGGAUGCAUACUUAGUUUGCAUACAAAGAUUUGAUGCUAAAAUAUGAGGGAAUUUCAUCUAGUCGUUAUGAACUUAUAUUUACAGGUAAAUUCUUGGCAGGAGUAUCAUGCAGUUUAUAGUUACGAAUGCCUUAUCAUUGCUUAUGAUUUUUAUAGAACUUAAUGAUCUUUAAUAUGUAUCUCUAUCAUGUUGUUCAUAUAGGGAACUUGAUAAGAAUAAUUUGAUUGUGUCGCUGAGUCCAAUUCAAUGAAUUUAGGAAACUCUGAAAGUUAAUUUAUGCUUCUCACGAUUAAUUUGGGGCAUUGUCAUUCAUGGUUUAUAGGAAUAAUAAAUGGAAAUUGAUUUGUAUGCAUAUGUGUCAUGUGUGAAGAAAGACCCUCUAGCUACCCUUACACCCCUAAAAACAUCCAAUUUCGUAUUACCUUUAGUUUGUUUAUGCAAGUACUUAGGUUUACUUUAAAUUCAUCAAAACAACCCCCAUUUAGUACUCUGAGUCUUUUUAGUUUAAUUUUCGUCCAAAUUUGGACCCUUUAGUUCUUGUUUUGAGUCAAUUUAACUUAGUUUUGUGUUAUUUGAGUCAGUUUAGCUUGUUUUGAGUUGUUUGAGUCUAGUUUUAAGUUUUUAGGUUUAAUUUGUGUUGAUUAGCAUCCCUAACUAAUCACUGGCUUAGAACGAUCCCUACUUAUGCGUACUAUAACUAUUUUAAUAGGGUUUAAUUUGUGUGUUAGUUUUUACCAUAUCAUCCACAAUGAAUUUUUUUCAAUCUCUCUUUUUUAUGGAAAAAAAUUGUAUUGGGAGAUCAUAAGAGCAACCAAUGGUUUUGAUUCCAUAUUUUGCAUUGGGAAGGGAGGAUCUGGAAGUGUCUACAAGGCAACGCUACCAUCAGGCAUCAUAGUUGCCGUGAAGAAACUCCAUCAAAAACUUGACGGCGAGGGGACAUCGCAAAAGGAGUUCCACAAUGAAAUAAGUGCACUAAUCAAUAUACGACAUCGAAACAUUGUGAAAUUUUGUGGCUUUUGCUCAAAUUCACAGCACCCAUUUCUGGUCUAUGAAUAUCUAGAAAAGGGUAGUCUGGCUUCAAUCUUGAGCAAAGAAGACGAAGCAAAAGAAUUGGAUUGGAGUAGGAGGGUGAGAAUUGUAAAAGGCGUAGCUCUUGCACUGUCUUACCUGCAUCAUGAUUGUGUGCCGCCAAUUGUACACCGAGACAUAUCAAGCAGCAACAUUUUGAUGGAUUACGACUACAAGCCUUGUGUUUCAGACUUCGGCACUACUAAGCUUUUGAAUCCAGACUGGAGCUGCCUUGCAGGCACAUACAGAUAUGUAGCACCAGGUAAAGUAAAACAAUUAAAAUAUAUAAUGUUGAAUCUGGUGAUAUAAAGUUAAAACAUAUGCCAAUGGCUUGCUUUCCCUUAAUUUUUAUCCAGAGUUGGCCUACACAAGGAAGGUAACUGAGAAAUGUGACGUUUAUAGCUUCAGAGUGUUGGCACUGGAAGUCAUCAUGGGAAAGCGACUACUAAUCUCAUUCGUGUUUUUUUGGUGGAAAGGAAUCUGGUUUUCUAUCAAUAAUCCUACUUAAUAAUUGAGCAACAACUAAUCUCAUUUGUGACAUAAACUUAAAGACUAAUUAGUAUCAUAAUUACCAUUCCUAUUUUUAAAAUCUCAUUCAUGACAUAAACCUAAAGACUAAUUAGUAACAUAAUUAGCAUUCCUAUUUUUAAAACCAAAUUAUGCGUAGGCAAACCAUUAAAGUCAAGUUUGUUUGAAAAAUCAGUUGGAUACAUUGUUUCAAGAUUUUCAUUUGCAGAAUACAAAAAAUCAUAACAUAAAAGCUAUCUCUCAACCCAUGCCAAAAAGUUGCCAAUCCAGAUUAUUCACAAUUUUCACAGCAACGCUCUGAUCAAAGAUUCUAAGAAGGAACAUAGCUAAUAAGCAGUCAUAACUAUCAAACUCACAGAUGUAAUAACUAUCAAAAUCAUAGAUGCAAUAACUAUCAAACUCAUAGAAAUAUAAACACACAUUCCAUUACAUUUCCAGUAAACUAAAUACUCAAGAGCUCUUUUUGACAUUGCAUUGUAAUCCCUUUGUAAACCAGAAAAGCAAUAACCAUAUUUCCAAAAAAAUACUUUAGACACACAAAUAGAUAAUCAGGUAAAAAUACUAUCCAUUGGUUUAACAUAUGUUUUCCACACCGCUGAGACUAUGAAUUAUGGCUAUUGUCCAUUUCAUGCAAAAUCAAAGAAAUAAGAUCUGUUAUUAUAGAAAAUCAAUUAUGUGGACAGGCAAUUGAAGACUGAUUUAACCGAAGGCUGUUCUAGUGUUUACAGCCACUUCUAGUAUAAUUUAGUUUGACAUUGAUAUUCAAAAUUUUCAUCCAAUAAAUUGGCAAGCGGUGCUGAAUAUUAAAUUACGAAAACAAUUUUAUGUACUGGGCAACUGUGCCUUGAAGCUCAGAAAUACAAAAUACACAUAGCCAAAAGCUCAAUAAAAAGCAAGGAACCGAUAACUCUAAGGAAAAGCUACAAAGAAAGCCAUUGGGUUACCAUAGUCGAGUGGUCUCAUUUACCUUGAAAUGGGGGUACCGCCCAAGCUUGAGUUUUCAUGCCUUGAAAAUUCAAAAAAGGAUAUGUUUCGAUCCCCAGAUAGAUGCAUUCUAUUUAAGAAAAAUACAUGGAAAUAUAAUGAAGUUCAGAAAUCCAACCAUGUCGGUUAAAUUCCUUGUGCCAGGUUGCUCAAGGAUGACCUCCUAGUACUUACACUUCUAAGUGAGAUUUGACUUGGUUUCACAAUUCCGACUCCUGCGUAUUUUGGUACACCAUUUUGCACAGCCCUAAGAUCCUGUAUUACAAUUUCAAUUUUGCUUACGCAUGCAUGCACUACAACAGUAGUACAGUGAUGUAAAACAAAGACUCUGACUUAUCACUUGCAGCCAUGUUUCCAAUUGCCGCAUCUCUUUGUUUUAUUAAUUUUUCUUUUAUAAUCAAACAUAAAUCACAGAUACUUCAAAAACCAGAAAGAGAAAAAGAGAAAUUAGAAAAUCAUAUUGAAAACCCCUACCAAAGCACGUUAAUAAUCUAACUAAUGAAUGCGGUUCGAGAAACAAACCCCUGUUCGAGUGUGACUGAUCAGAUCCCGCACUUGCAUUGCUGUUUCCACACAGCACUCUGUACACAAAAUCCCCCAAAAAAUAAAUACAUAGUCCACACACAAAUCAACCAACAAAUAAGAAAAAAAAUCAUCUUUUUCAAUGACUUUCUUAAAUGGGGAACAACCUGCUAAUACCCUUCAUGGCCAAAGCACAAAGAAUAAUUCAUAUAUGUUUUUCAAUUUUCAAAUCACAAAGUGGAAUACAAAUCUUAAAACUUUUAAGCCAAAAACAGAUGCACUAUUUUUCCAGAGACUCAAAAAAAAAAAAAGAAAAAGAAAAGAAAGCAAGUGCAAGCACAAAUCUUGUGAAAUAAUUAGGAAUAUUCUAUAAAUAAUCAUAUGCAAAUCAUUACCCGAUUAAUCACCAAAAAUAUCAAAACAGAAAUCCAUAGCCAGAAAUUGAAAGACAUAUCAUAUUAUCAGUUCAAGAAUAAGAAAACACAAUUCAUAACAAAGCAAGCCAAUAAACAAAACCCACGAAGAAAAUCUCAAAAUUCCAAAACCUCAAAAGGAUUAUGAAAACAAAGACGCACUCAGAACUAAGAGCCCAGUGGAAGCUCUGUUUACACAAAAGCUAUAACCAAAAUCACAAACUUAAAUUUGUCGGACCCAAAAAAUUUUUACAUACACAAAUGUAAAAUUUGGAUUUUUACAUGGUUGCUUUCGUUUUUAACAAUGUUUCGGUUGCAAGUAUAUGGACGGUGGUCAAAAUCUUGGCUUCAAAUUUUGAAUUUGUAGGGAUUGGUGUCAUUACAUACAACAACAACAACAACAACAAAGCCUUUUCCCACUAAGUGGGGUCGGCUAUAUGAAUCCUAGAACGCCAUUGCGCUCGGUUUUGUGUCAUGUCCUCCGUUAGAUCCAAGUAAUCAAGUCUUUUCUUAGGGUCUCUUCCAAA